CGUGUAGGCGGCCUUGUAAGUUUGGUGUGAAAGCCCGGGGCUUACCCCCGGAAGUGCACUGGAUACUGCAAGGCUUGAGUACCGGAGAGGAAAGUGGAAUUCCUGGUGUAGCGGUGAAAUGCGUAGAUAUCAGGAGGAACACCGGUGGCGAAGGCGGCUUUCUGGACGGAUACUGACGCUGAGACGCGAAAGCGUGGGGAGGCAAAACA
rnacentral:rRNA from 1 species